rnacentral:tRNA from 1 species
UCUCGAGUAGUAUAGUGGUCAGUAUUUCGGCUUGUCAUUCAGACAGCUCGCCGGAGGCCGGGGUUCGAUUCCCCGCUCGAGAG